CCCACAAUACUGCAACUAUCCCCCGAAAAUACUGCACUACCCCUCACAAGUACUGACACUACCCUCCAUAAUACGAUCCCAUCCCUUCACAAUACUGCCCCUACCCCUCCAAUACUGCUCCCAUUCCCCACAAUACUGCACUUAUUCCCCACAAUACUGUCUAGUUCAUUAGAAGAACAGGAGAGCAUAAAAACAUUUAACCAUAAACAACCACAUUAUACACACCCUGCACCCACAAUGGGCACAGGGUGACUUAAACAUAAGAGUCAUCCAGAGACCUAAUUGAAUUGUCCAUCUUAAGCUCCUGGUGACGGUGACUACCAUCACAGCCGCAAUGCAAAGCAAAUACACAUCAGCCCCAAUAUAUAAAAGAAAAAAAGAUAAGUUACUUUCGCACUAUCCCAAAUCCCUAUGUACAUUUCAAUAGCUGGAAAUUUUUAAGUAUUUCUCCAAUGGCCAUUAAAGUGUAAGCUCACCUGCCAUGUCAAGACAAACGUAGUGUAAGUUCUACACUAACAAUUCACCUUGCUGUCUUCUGCCAACAGGUAUAAAUUUCCAAUGAGAGAGACAAUGGGUAUUUUCUUUCCUAAACACACACCCUACACACUUAUAAACCCUUAACCCCUUAAGGACCAAACUUCUGGAAUAAAAGGGAAUCAUGACAUGUCAUACAUGUCAUGUAUCCUUAGGGGGUUAAGGACACAGCUUCAGAAGCUUGUCUUACUGUUAAGGACAGAAGCCAUUUUUGCAUUUUUUGCUGUUUGUGUUCAAACUCAAUUUGCAUCUCUGUCAUUUAUUGCACCAACACAUAUUAUAUAGUUUUUUUAGAGGGCAAACAGGGCUUUAAUUUGAUAGAUAGAUACAUUCUCAUUAAUUGUAAAUAAAAACAAUGCCAUAAAAUAGGGGUGGG